CCAUGAAGCUGGAUUCGCUAGUAAUCGCGCAUCAGCCACGGCGCGGUGAAUACGUUCCCGGGCCUUGUACACACCGCCCGUCAAGCCAUGGAAGCCGGGAGUGCCUGAAGUGCGUGACCGCAAGGAGCGUCCUAAGGCAAUACCGGUGACUGGGGCUAAGUCGUAACAAGGUAAC
rnacentral:rRNA from 1 species